rnacentral:rRNA from 1 species
GAUGAACGCUGGCGGCGUGCUUAACACAUGCAAGUCGAACGGAGAAAGGGUAGCUUGCUAUCUUUUCUUAGUGGCGGACGGGUGAGUAACGCGUGGGUAACCUGCCCUUUGCAGGGGGAUAACAGUGAGAAAUCACUGCUAAUACCGCAUACCAACUUCUUUCGCAUGAAGGAAGUUUGAAAGAUUUAUCGGCAAAGGAUGGACCCGCGUUGGAUUAGCUAGUUGGUGGGGUAACGGCCUACCAAGGCAACGAUCAGUAGCCGGCCUCCGAGAGGGUGAACGGCCACAUUGGGACUGAGACACGGCCCAGACUCCUACGGGAGGCAGCAGUGGGGAAUAUUGCACAAUGGGCGAAAAGCCUGAUGCAGCGACGCCGCGUGAGUGAAGAAGUAUUUCGGUAUGUAAAAGCUCUAUCAGCAAAGGAAGAUAAAUGACGGUACUUGACUAAGAAAGCCCCGGCUAACUACGUGCCAGCAGCCGCGGUAAUAAGUCACGUCG